ACAGGACUCUGCUAACACGAAAGUGGAUGUAUAGGGUCUGACGCCUGCCCGGUGCUGGAAGAUUAAAUGAUGGGGUGCAAGCUCUUGAUUGAAGUCCCAGUAAACGGCGGCCGUAACUAUAACGGUCCUAAGGUAGCGAAAUUCCUUGUCGGGUAAGUUCCGACCCGCACGAAUGGCGUAAUGAUGGCCACACUGUCUCCUCCAGAGACUCAGCGAAGUUGAAGUGUUUGUGAUGAUGCAAUCUCCCCGCGGCAAGACGGAAAGACCCCAUGAACCUUUACUGUAGCUUUGCAUGGGACUGUGACGAUGUUUGUGUAGGAUAGCUGGGAGGCUUUGAAACCGGGACGCUAGUUUCGGUGGAGCCAACGUUGAAAUACCAGCCUGAUGGCGUUGCGGUUCUAACCUGGCCCCCUGAAUCGGGGGUGGGGACAGUGCAUGGUGGGCAGUUUGACUGGGGCGGUCUCCUCCUAAAAGGUAACGGAGGAGCUCGAAGGUGCGCUCAGCGCGGUCGGAAAUCGCGCUACUGGAGUGUAAUGGCACAAGCGCGCUUGACUGCGAGACUGACAAGUCGAGCAGGUACGAAAGUAGGACAUAGUGAUCCGGUGGUUCUGUAUGGAAGGGCCAUCGCUCAACGGACAAAAGGUACUCUGGGGAUAACAGGCUGAUACCGCCCAAGAGUUCAUAUCGACGGCGGUGUUUGGCACCUCGAUGUCGGCUCAUCUCAUCCUGGGGCUGUAGCCGGUCCCAAGGGUAUGGCUGUUCGCCAUUUAAAGAGGUACGUGAGCUGGGUUCAAAACGUCGUGAGACAGUUUGGUCCCUAUCUGCCGUGGGCGCUGGAAAUUUGACGGGGCCUGUUCCUAGUACGAGAGGACCGGAAUGGACGUACCGCUGGUGUACCUGUUGUUUCGCCAGAAGCAUCGCAGGGUAGCUAUGUACGGAAGAGAUAACCGCUGAAAGCAUCUAAGCGGGAAACUCGCCCGAAGAUUAGAUUUCCCCGGGGGCUCGACCCCCCUGAAGAGCCGUUCAAGACCAGGACGUUGAUAGGUCAGGUGUGGAAGCGCAGUAAUGCGUUGAGCUAACUGAUACUAAUUACUCGUGCGGCUUGAUCCU
rnacentral:rRNA from 1 species